ensembl:lncRNA
GCUCCUGGGAGGGCAAGAGUCCAAGAGUGGGUGGAGGGAGAAACAGCUCCUGUGCUGGUCAAAUGACCACCUCAUCUGACCCCACAGGGAGCUCAGGAGCGAGAUCGACCCUAGGUGUUGUCUGGCGGGGCCACCUGGGUCCGUUGCUGGAUACAGACCUGUAAGCAUCGGGUGAGGCAGCACCCAAAGGGACUGAGUUGAAAGCUGUGGGCUGACAGCACUCCCAGCAGCUAAGGGCAAGAUCUUUUAUGGCAGGGGAGCGGGGGAUGUGCCAGUCUUCCCCACAGCCACCCCUGCCCGCCAGGUGCUCAGUCACAUACAUUAAGACGGUUAAGAGAGCAGCUCUUUGGAGGUUCUGGGGAGUGUGGGGGAGCCUCCUCCUGGGGAUGUUUUUCUCUUUUUCCUUUUUUAGAGACAGGAUCCCACUUUGUCGCCCAGGCUGGAAUGCAGUGUUGCCAUCAUAGCUCACUGCAACCUCCAACUCCUGGCCUCAAGGGAUCCUCCUGCCUCAGCCUCCCAACUACUCGGGAGGCUGAGGUAGGAUGAUCACUUGAGCCCAGGAGUUUGACGCUGCAACGAGCUAUGAUUGCACCACUGCACUCCAGCCUGGGCGACAGAGUGAGACCUAGUCUUUAAAAGAAAAACAAUAAUAAUAAUAAUAAAAAAAAUAAAAUUAUUGGUUAACUAUAAAUGGGAAUGAAUAAUCUUACUGGGGUGAUGGAAAUGUUCUAAAUCUGUAUUGUGGUGAUGAUUAUACAAUUUGGUAAAUUUGUUAAAAAAUCAUUGAAUUGUACAGUUAAAAUGGGUGAGUUUUAUGGUGUAAAAGUUAUACCUCAGUUAAGUUACAAAUACACACCACAUUAGUUGUAAUGCUCUGUACAACCACAGAAUGUCAGCAAAGACAGCCAUGAAGGACUUUUUUCAUAAACCAAAUUUUCCAAUGAAAAUGCCACCAACCACUAGAUGUAGCUGCCUUUUCACGACAAGAAGGCCUUUGUUCUGGGUCUCAGGGACUUGAAGUUAUCAAACAUCAGGAAUAAGGAAAUAUUUGCAAGUAUCAGCUUAUUCAAAUCGAUCAUGACUGAGCCUGUCAAAUCAUUUUAUCCUUGGGUACAAUUUAAUAAGCAAUUGCUUUUCUGCUAAGAAAAAUAAGUGUCAAUAAAACUUUUCAAAUAACAUGGAAAAAUCUAAAGAAAAUAUAGCCUCUCCCUUCAUUACUUCAGUUCUUUCAAGAAUAUUUAAAUAAUAAACUGGGUUAUGGGACAGUAACCCUCCUAAUGUACACUGAAAACCACAACCUUUUCUAAGCCAGUGAUCAUUUCUGUUAACUUGGUGCGGCCCUGUUAGGUGGAGAAGGGCAGAGGAAACUCCUAUGGUGGAAAAUUUUCAGUCAGUCACAGUUUGGGCACAUUUAUAAAUAACGUAAGUAAAACAAAAUUUGCCCAAGUCAAGUCUUCAUGUGUCAAAAUCUUAAUCUAGUUACCAGAAUCAAAGUAGAUGUACCUGCCUUCAUCACAGGCCAGUUUCAGCCUAAGACUUUUUUUCUCUUAAAUGCUGGGCAAGCCUCAGAAUGGAUUAUUAAAAAUACUGAUGUUGAAGACAUUCUGAAAGACAAUUUUAUGGGUUCAUGACCUGAGUACUAAGAAUCUAGAAGCUGUGUUCACAGGGAUGAGGGAAAAAAUAAGAUCUGAUGAACUCUUCUCUGAAAUUAACAUUUCACUGUGAAUUUCAUCACAGUGUCACAAGUGUCAAGGUCAAUGUGGAGAAAACAGAGGUUUCCAAUCAAACAGAGGUCAAGUUACCUUGCCAAAGUGACACAGGGAGUUUUAACAGAAAAGCUAGGACCAGAACCCAGGUCUGGUGGCCGUCAGCCAUGGUUCCUCCAGCCAAGCCCACACCCACUGUUCAUUCUGCUCUUCACAGUGCCUGUAGCUUUGGGCUUUGUUGUUUUGUUUCUGUAGUUCUUUUUAUCCAGGAUGGAUUUUUGAGAACAUAGGUAAUCACUGUCUGACUCAUUUUAAAAAUCAAAGUCAUGAAACGGGUGUCUGGGAUCCUAAAUGCUCUAGAAGUAUUCAAGUAAUUGAUUGUAGUGAAAAUCCCUAAGAAACCACAGCUAAUCUCAAUGUCCUUUGGUGGGUAAAGUCUAUACCAGCUGUGGAAGAGUCCCCGUAGAUUGUCUGCUAAGCCCCUCCAGCAACCCAGUCUUCCUUCUCUAUUGUUACAUGGGAUGUUCCCUGUAUGAAAUCUUCUGCCCGUACUCCAACUUCCCCUCCCUGCCCUCCAAACUGCCACAAUCCUGUAUUCCUGGAGCAACAGCAACCCAACAUUUAAUGAUGUUAAGUCAGGUUACUUGACUAGAAAGACUAAUAGGUUAGGCAUGUUAUACCCUUGAUAAAGUAGAUUUGUCUUCUACCCUUCUAGGUCUAAACUCCAAUAAAAUCCAGGUGGGUUACAUCAAUUCAGACAUCUGGAUAAAAGGAUGAAUGAAACCAUGUACAUAAUACAGAACUAUGCAUGCCAGGAAAAGAAAUUAUACUGCCUAAAAGCUGCAACCUUCAUGACAUCAAAUCUAUUUUAACACUGGCUGGUUAUGUGAGGAAAAGGCUAAUAAAAAAAAAAAUUCUGGCUGACC